rnacentral:rRNA from 1 species
GGGUUGUGAGGUUAAGCGACUAAGCGUACACGGUGGAUGCCCUGGCAGUCAGAGGCGAUGAAGGGCGUGCUAAUCUGCGAUAAGCGCCGGUAAGGUGAUAUGAACCGUUAUAACCGGCGAUACCCGAAUGGGGAAACCCAGUGUGAUUCGUCACACUAUCAUUACGUGAAUACAUAGCGUAAUGAAGCGAACCGGGGGAACUGAAACAUCUAAGUACCCCGAGGAAAAGAAAUCAACCGAGAUUCCCCCAGUAGCGGCGAGCGAACGGGGAGGAGCCCAGAGCCUGAAUCAGCAUGUGUGUUAGUGGAAGCGUCUGGAAAGGCGCGCGAUACAGGGUGACAGCCCCGUACACAAAAGCGCAUGUGUUGUGAGCUCGAUGAGUAGGGCGGGACACGUGGUAUCCUGUCUGAAUAUGGGGGGACCAUCCUCCAAGGCUAAAUACUCCUGACUGACCGAUAGUGAACCAGUACCGUGAGGGAAAGGCGAAAAGAACCCCGGCGAGGGGAGUGAAAAAGAACCUGAAACCGUGUACGUACAAGCAGUGGGAGCACCCUUUGGGGUGUGACUGCGUACCUUUUGUAUAAUGGGUCAGCGACUUAUAUUCUGUAGCAAGGUUAACCGAAUAGGGGAGCCGGAGGGAAACCGAGUCUUAAUUGGGCGUUAAGUUGCAGGGUAUAGACCCGAAACCCGGUGAUCUAGCCAUGGGCAGGUUGAAGGUUGGGUAACACUAACUGGAGGACCGAACCGACUAAUGUUGAAAAAUUAGCGGAUGACCUGUGGCUGGGGGUGAAAGGCCAAUCAAACCGGGAGAUAGCUGGUUCUCCCCGAAAGCUAUUUAGGUAGCGCCUCGUGA